AUUGAACGCUGGCGGCAGGCCUAACACAUGCAAGUCGAACGAGUGGCGGACGGGUGAGUAAUGUCUGGGAAACUGCCUGAUGGAGGGGGAUAACUACUGGAAACGGUAGCUAAUACCGCAUACCAUCGGCUGUGCCCAGAUGGGAUUAGCUAGUAGGUGGGGUAACGGCUCACCUAGGCGACGAUCCCUAGCUGGUCUGAGAGGAUGACACUCCCCACUGGAACUGAGACACGGUCCAGACGCGAUCUAUAUCAUCACUUUUUAAAUAUUGCACAAUGAGCGCAAGCCUGAUACAGCCAUGCCGCGUGUAUGAAGAAUACCGUCGGGUUAUAAAGUACUUUCAGCGGGGAGGCGUUACCCGCAGAAGAAGCACCGGCUAACUCCGUGCCAGCAGCCGCGGUAAUUC
rnacentral:rRNA from 1 species